GGGAGCAGUCUGAUAGAGAGACAGUGAGAGAGAGCAGUCUGAUAGAGAGACAGAGAGCAGUCUGAUAGAGAGACAGUGAGAGAGGGAGCAGCCUGAUAGAGAGACAGUGAGAGUGGAGCAGUCUGAUAGAGAGACAGUGAGAGAGGAGCAGUCUGAUAGAGAGACAGAGAGAGAGAGGAGCAGUCUGACAGAGAGACAUGAGAGAGAGCAGUCUGAUAGAGAGACAGUGAGAGAGGGUGCAGCCCGAUGGAGAGGACAGUGAGAGAGGGAGCAGCCUGAUAGGAGAGUAAUGCAGGAGAGAGAGGAGCCAGAGUCCUGAUAGAGAGAUGCGGAGAGAGAGCAGUCUGAUAGAGAGACAGUGAGAGAGGGAGAAGUCUGAUAGGAGAGACAGUAGAGUAUAGUCUGAUAGAGAGACAAAGAGAGAGAGAGAGCAGUCUGAUAGAGAGACAGUGAGAGAGAGAGCAGUCUGAUAGAGAGACAGUGAGAGAGGGAGCAGUCUGAUAGAGAGACAGAGAGAGAGGGAGCAGUCUGAUAGAGAGACAGUGAGAGAGAGCAGUCUGAUAGAGAGACAGUGAGAGAGGGAGCAGUCUGAUAGAGAGACAGUGAGAGAGGGAGCAGUCUGAUAGAGAGACAGUGAGAGAGAGGGAGCAGUCUGAUAGAGAGACAGUGAGAGAGAGCAGUCUGAUAGAGAGACAGUGAGAGAG